GGCUUAGAAGCAGCCACUCAUUAAAAGAGUGCGUAAUAGCUCACUGGUCGAGUGAUUCUGCGCCGAAAAUUUAACGGGGCUAAACUAUACACCGAAGCUUAGGAUACCGCAAGGUAUGGUAGGAGAGCGUUCUGUACGGAGUGAAGUCGUAGCGAAAGCGGCGGUGGACUGUACAGAAGUGAGAAUGCCGGAAUAAGUAGCGAGAAUUAAGUGAGAAUCUUAAUGGCCGAAAGUCUAAGGUUUUUGGAGGAAGGUUCGUCCGCUCCAAGUAAGUCGGGAGCUAAGGUCAGGCCGAAAGGCGUAGCCGAUGCACAAACGGUUGAUAUUCCGUUACCGUCUAUAAUUUAAACAAAGGGACACAUACAAAGCGUUUAACCCGGGCGAUGGUUGACCCGGGCGCAAGGGACUGAAAUUAGAGUAGGGAAGUAAAUGUGGCGUAUGGCGAGAAAAGCUUUGUGUAUAGAAGUAGACGCCCGUACCGCAAACCGACACAGGUGGACAGGAAGAGAAUUCUAAGGCCAGCGGGAGAAGGGUAGUUAAGGAACUCGGCAAAUUGACUCCGUAACUUCGGAAUAAGGAGUGCUCGAAAGAGCCGCAGAGAAUAGGCCCAGGCGACUGUUUAGCAAAAACACAGGUCUCUGCCAAAUCGAAAGAUGAAGUAUAGGGGCUGACACCUGCCCGGUGCCGGAAGGUUAAGAGGAGGAGUGCAAGCUCCGAAUUGAAGCCCCGGUAAACGGCGGCCGUAACUAUAACGGUCCUAAGGUAGCGAAAUUCCUUGUCGGGUAAGUUCCGACCCGCACGAAUGGUGUAACGAUCUGGGCACUGUCUCAACUACCCACCCGGCGAAAUUGUAGUACCGGUGAAGAUGCCGGUUACCUGCGGCAAGACGGAAAGACCCCAUGGAGCUUUACUGUAGCCUGAUAUUGGGUUUCGGAAAUCUAUGUACAGGAUAGGCGGGAGACUGGGAAGUAUGAGCGUCAGCUUAUACGGAGUCAUUGUUGGGAUACCGCCCUUAGGUUUCUGGAAUUCUAACCUGCGACCGUGAAUCCGGUCGGGGGACAUUGUCAGGUGGGCAGUUUGACUGGGGCGGUCGCCUCCGAAAAGGUAACGGAGGCGCUCAAAGGUUGGCUCAGCACGGACGGAAACCGUGCCUCAGAGUGUAAACGCAAAAGCCAGCCUAACUGCGAGGAUGACGGUCCGAGCAGUAACGAAAGUUGGAGUUAGUGAUCCGGCGGUAUGUGAAUGGAAAUGCCGUCGCUCAACGGAUAAAAGCUACCCUGGGGAUAACAGGCUGAUCUCCCCCAAGAGUCCACAUCGACGGGGAGGUUUGGCACCUCGAUGUCGGCUCAUCACAUCCUGGGGCUGUAUUCGGUCCCAAGGGUUCGGCUGUUCGCCGAUUAAAGUGGUACGCGAGCUGGGUUCAGAACGUCGCGAGACAGUUCGGUCCCUAUCUGUCGUGGGCGCAGGAUAUUUGAGGAGCUCUGUCCUUAGUACGAGAGGACCGGGAUGGACGUACCUCUGGUGCACCAGUUGUCAUGCCAAUGGCACGGCUGGGCAGCUACGUACGGAACGGAUAAACGCUGAAAGCAUCUAAGCGUGAAGCCGACUCCAAGAUUAGAUAUCCCAUUGCAUAAGCAAGUAAGACCCCUUGAGGACUACGAGGUUGAUAGGCUGCGUGUGUAAGUGUCGUGAGGCAUUUAGCUUGGCAGUACUAAUAGGUCGAGGGCUUGACCA
rnacentral:rRNA from 1 species